rnacentral:tRNA from 1 species
UGUUGUGGUGUAGUUAGUUAUCAUGUCCGUCUUACACACUAAAAGUCCCUGGUUCGAAGCUGGACAGAUAA